CAAAGCUUUGGACACCAAAAUAUAAACGGCUAAAGAGAGCAUCGGAGUGGUUGGGUUGGAGAAAGAUUGCAGGUUUCUCCUCUCCCACUCCAAAGGGGCAACCGAGAAGAACACAGCUUCAUCGAAGCCUAAUAUGGGAAAAGAGACAGGAAGCUUUGGGAAGAGAAUGAACAAGACACAUACUCUCUGCGUGCGGUGCGGGCGUCGCAGCUUUCGUCUUCAGAAGAGCCGAUGAGCUUCUUGCGCUUAUCCUGCCAGCUGUAUCCGCAAGUAUAACUGUAGUGUGAAGGCCAUUAGGAGGAAGACAACCGGAACGGGAAGGAUGAGGUAUUUACAUCAUGUGCCUCAAAGGUUCAAGAGCAAUUUCAGAG